AGAGUUAAACAGUACGUGAAAUUGUUAAAAGGGAAACGAAUGAGACCAGUAAUCCUGGCAGCUAAUCAGCCGCCUGAGCGUAGCCUUGAGUCAUUUGAAGAUCGCAAGACUUCAGUGGCUCAGUGGCUGCGCUUUAGCGGUGUACUUGGCUGUCAGGAAGUCAACGUCAGUUCAGACUGACGGAAGAACUUUGGCGGGAGGUAGCCACCCUCGGGUGGUGUUUAACCGCCAAAUGCACACGUCAGACUGGACUGAGGACUGCAGGGUGCCUUCAUGGCAGGGCGUCCCGGUGCUGCUAGGUGCGUUGUCUUAGGCCAGCUUGCUGACUGAGGUGACGUUGCCUGGCAACCACCGGGCUCCGCUACAAACACCCUUAGGACGUUGACGAAAUGGUCUUAUCCGACC
rnacentral:rRNA from 1 species